GUCGGGUUGUUGUCUCUUUGGCACAUUCCCCAUUUCCAUUCUCAAUUAUAUAAUAUAUAUGAAUCAACGUGCAGACAUGCUUUCAAGUAUUUCAUGUUUUCAUCUUCAAUGGAUAAAAUUUCAUCCAAGCACACACAUUUUGUCAUUCACAUCGAAAGCUAACCAAACUUUAGACAGACUUAUAAACAAGGGAUAUAGCUUCG
rnacentral:lncRNA from 1 species